rnacentral:lncRNA from 1 species
UGCUCUAGGAGAAGAAAACAAAAUCGAACAACCAUUAUAUUAUUCAAAAAGGCCAUGCUAGAGCACUAGAUUAUUCUGUAACUGAAAUUGUGAGGUCUAAAUAAGGUAUUACUCUUGAACAAAGGACCUCAUUAAUGUUUAAAACAUCUAACGAAAUCUGUUAUGAGCAGAUUUAGAUGCAUAAAAAAAUGGGGGCCGAUAGAGAGAGUGGGCGCGCGGGAGAGCAAACAAAUCCUUGGGUGGUUGCCUCCUUCGUUAGGGACCUCAAAGUAUUAGGUGUCCAUGCAUGAAUGACCCUCUCCCUAUACAGACAGCACGAAUGACCUUCGUCAUGCAUGCAGAUGCAGGACUCCUAUAUGAUAUGUGCGUCUAGCUGGUUUCUUCUUCUUCUUAAGCCAAAAUGAAUGAAUGAAUUAAGCU